rnacentral:rRNA from 1 species
UACGAAGGGUGCAAACGUUGCUCGGAAUUAUUGGGCGUAAAGCGCACGUAGGCGGCAUCGCAAGUCCCAUGUGAAAGCCACGCGUAACCGUGGAAGUGCAUGGGAAACUGCAGUGCUUGAGUACUUAAGAGGAUCGCGGAAUUCCCGGUGUAGAGGUGAAAUUCGUAGAUAUCGGGAGGAACACCAGUGGCGAAGGCGGCGAUCUGGGAAGAUACUGACGCUGAGGUGCGAAAGCGUGGGGAGCAAACAGG